ensembl:misc_RNA 7SK 7SK RNA
GGAUGUGAGGGAGAGCUGGCUGCGAAACUUGUCACCUCGCUGAUUGCCAGGGUUGAUUUGGUUGAUCUGCCUGGUAGGCAGGUAGGUGUCCAGGUUUCCAUCUUCACCCCUCCACGUGUAUCCUUCGUGAAGCCGUGCUUUUGGUCCAAGAGGAGGACCUUCCCUGGAUAGAGACAGAUCGGUCCUUGGUCAAGGAUAUACGAGUAGCUGUGCUCCCCUGCUGGAAUGGCUGGCUACACAAGCAGCUCAAACAUAUGAUCAACGUAUUGGGCUGGGCCAAGGCCAAAU